rnacentral:rRNA from 1 species
AUUGAACGCUGGCGGCAGGCCUAACACAUGCACGUCGAACGAGUGGCGGACGGGUGAGUAAUGUCUGGGAAACUGCCUGAUGGAGGGGGAUAACUACUGGAAACGGUAGCUAAUACCGCAUACCAUCGGAUGUGCCCAGAUGGGAUUAGCUAGUAGGUGGGGAAAAGGCUCACCUAGGCGACGAUCCCUAGCUGGUCUGAGAGGAUGACCAGCCACACUGGAAUGAAGACACGGUCCAGACUCCUACGGGAGGCAGCAGGGGGGAUUAGUGCACAAUGGGCGUAAUCCGGAUGCAGCCAUGCCGCGUGGAUGACGAAGGCCUUCGGGUUGGAAAGUACUUUCAGCGGGGAGGCGUUACCCGCAGAAGAAGCACCGGCUAACUCCGUGCCAGCAGCCGCGGUAAUAC